rnacentral:rRNA from 1 species
ACUCCUACGGGAGGCAGCAGUGAGGAAUAUUGGACAAUGGGUGGAAGCCUGAUCCAGCCAUCCCGCGUGCAGGAAGACGGCCCUAUGGGUUGUAAACUGCUUUUAUCUGGGGAUAAACCUACUUACGUGUAAGUAGCUGAAGGUACCAGAAGAAUAAGCACCGGCUACCUCCGUGCCAGCAGCCGCGGUAAUACGGAGGGUGCAAGCGUUAUCCGGAUUUAUUGGGUUUAAAGGGUCCGUAGGCGGACUGAUAAGUCAGUGGUGAAAUCCGACAGCUUAACUGUCGAACUGCCAUUGAUACUGUUAGUCUUGAGUAAGGUUGAAGUGGCUGGAAUAAGUAGUGUAGCGGUGAAAUGCAUAGAUAUUACUUAGAACACCAAUUGCGAAGGCAGGUCACUAAGUCUUAACUGACGCUGAUGGACGAAAGCGUGGGGAGCGAACAGGAUUAGAAACCGGGGUAGUCCC